GACGUAGGGGGCCAGCGUUGUUCGGAAUUACUGGGUGUAAAGGGUUCGUAGGCGGUGCGGCAAGUUGGGAGUGAAAUCUCUGGGCUUAACCCAGAGGCUGCUUCCAAAACUGCUGUGCUUGAGUGUGGGAGAGGCGCGUGGAAUUGCAGGUGUAGCGGUGAAAUGCGUAGAUAUCUGCAGGAACACCCGUGGCGAAAGCGGCGCGCUGGACCACUACUGACGCUGAGUGAACGAAAGCUAGGGGAGCAAACAGG
rnacentral:rRNA from 1 species